AUUCUCCCUCUUGUUCUUUGCAGCCAGUCAGCAAGGGUUUGUAGCAGCUGGAUGCAGAAUGAUGAGGACUGACCAAUGUGGUUGCGCCCCAGUAGUUCCUCUGAUGAGACUGAGUCAAGCUCCUCUGGCCUGGGUCGAGGAUCGAAGCGCAAGGCAAACAACAAGGCAGAGACUGAGGAGGAGACUUUAGUCAUCGAGCGAAAGCGGGGUAAAAGAGAGGAGGGGGAAACGGAGACUGCUACAGAGGGCCAGAGGGUGGUCAUUGAACACUGUAAGAGCUGAUACGUGUACAGACGGUGUGCUGAGGGGGUGCGAGAUGCCCUCCUGGCUGCCCGCCCAGACCUCAUCGUGGUUCUGAACCCCCAGAAACCCCGCAAGAAAAGCCUGGAGGUCACACUUGUGGAGGGAGGGAAAGAGGUGUGCCUCUGGACAGGCAUAAAGCUAGGCCCACCUGCCAGGCUGAAGUUCCCUGAGCCUGCCAUUGUGGUUGCAGCCCUGGAGGAGGCACUGAAAAAUGAAUAGAGACCCAGUGAAGAAUUUUGGACUGCCCCGAUUUUUAUAUUAUUCAACCUUUAUUUAACUA